rnacentral:rRNA from 1 species
AUUGAACGCUGGCGGCAGGCCUAACACAUGCAAGUCGAGCGGUAGCACAGAGAGCUUGCUCUCGGGUGACGAGCGGCGGACGGGUGAGUAAUGUCUGGGAAACUGCCUGAUGGAGGGGGAUAACUACUGGAAACGGUAGCUAAUACCGCAUAACGUCGCAAGACCAAAGUGGGGGACCUUCGGGCCUCAUGCCAUCAGAUGUGCCCAGAUGGGAUUAGCUGGUAGGUGGGGUAACGGCUCACCUAGGCGACGAUCCCUAGCUGGUCUGAGAGGAUGACCAGCCACACUGGAACUGAGACACGGUCCAGACUCCUACGGGAGGCAGCAGUGGGGAAUAUUGCACAAUGGGCGCAAGCCUGAUGCAGCCAUGCCGCGUGUGUGAAGAAGGCCUUCGGGUUGUAAAGCACUUUCAGCGGGGAGGAAGGCGAUAAGGUUAAUAACCUUGUCGAUUGACGUUACCCGCAGAAGAAGCACCGGCUAACUCCGUGCCAGCAGCCGCGGUAAUACGGAGGGUGCAAGCGUUAAUCGGAAUUACUGGGCGUAAAGCGCACGCAGGCGGUCUGUCAAGUCGGAUGUGAAAUCCCCGGGCUCAACCUGGGAACUGCAUUCGAAACUGGCAGGCUAGAGUCUUGUAGAGGGGGGUAGAAUUCCAGGUGUAGCGGUGAAAUGCGUAGAGAUCUGGAGGAAUACCGGUGGCGAAGGCGGCCCCCUGGACAAAGACUGACGCUCAGGUGCGAAAGCGUGGGGAGCAAACAGGAUUAGAUACCCUGGUAGUCCACGCUGUAAACGAUGUCGAUUUGGAGGUUGUGCCCUUGAGGCGUGGCUUCCGGAGCUAACGCGUUAAAUCGACCGCCUGGGGAGUACGGCCGCAAGGUUAAAACUCAAAUGAAUUGACGGGGGCCCGCACAAGCGGUGGAGCAUGUGGUUUAAUUCGAUGCAACGCGAAGAACCUUACCUGGUCUUGACAUCCACAGAACUUUCCAGAGAUGGAUUGGUGCCUUCGGGAACUGUGAGACAGGUGCUGCAUGGCUGUCGUCAGCUCGUGUUGUGAAAUGUUGGGUUAAGUCCCGCAACGAGCGCAACCCUUAUCCUUUGUUGCCAGCGGUUAGGCCGGGAACUCAAAGGAGACUGCCAGUGAUAAACUGGAGGAAGGUGGGGAUGACGUCAAGUCAUCAUGGCCCUUACGACCAGGGCUACACACGUGCUACAAUGGCAUAUACAAAGAGAAGCGACCUCGCGAGAGCAAGCGGACCUCAUAAAGUAUGUCGUAGUCCGGAUUGGAGUCUGCAACUCGACUCCAUGAAGUCGGAAUCGCUAGUAAUCGUAGAUCAGAAUGCUACGGUGAAUACGUUCCCGGGCCUUGUACACACCGC